AGGUGGAUUGCGACGACAAUUUCCACUAAAACUGGCUUGGGCUUGUACAGUGCACAAAGUACAAGGACUUAGUGUAGAUGAAGCUGUAGUGUGCCUUAAAAGAAUACUUGCACCUGGGCAGGCAUAUGUGGCAUUAAGUCGCGUUAGGAGUUUGUCAGGUUUAAUUAUUCAGGAUAUUGAUGAGGCGGCCAUAUAUUGUAAAGAUAACAUUAAAGAUGCAAUUGAAAACAUGCCUCCCUUUUUGGUCGAAAGGACCACAAAGCACAAAUUCAAUACACAAACCUUCACUGUAUUUUUGAUGAAUGUUCAAAAUUUAAGACGACAUGUAGCACAUUUGGCAUUGUGUACACAGCAUUUGCAGCUUAACUGUAUAGCUGUUACAGAAACAUGGCUGCCUGCAGUUUCCUCUUUUGAAACUGUAAACAUUGCUGGUUAUAGUUUUCAUAGUCAGCCCCGAAAUUUAUCAUACAGUAGCAGCAACCCAACAUUGCUUGAAAUACAAGGCCAACAACAUGGUGGAGUUGGCAUGUACAGUGCAAACAAUUUGGCAUAUAAUGUUAGAGGCACAUGUGAAUUUAGAAUGUUUGGUUUAUAACUGCACUACAUAUAAUAUAUUGAUAGCAGUUAUUUAUUGUCCACCACCGUAUCCCAUGUCUUUGUUCAAAGAAAAUCUGGGCAAGUUACUUGAUUGGUUAAAUCCAAUAAGUAACACAAUUGCUAUCAUGGGAGAUUUCAAUGAUAAUAAUUUAAAUUCUUCAACUAUCUGCAAGUUUAUGACCAACAAAGGGUUUGCCCAAAAUGUCUCACAAUCCACAACAGAGAAAGGCACAUUAAUUGAUCAUGUGUAUGUUAAAACACCACAUUAUAAUGUAGAAUCAACAGUGUUGCCAACAUAUUUCAGUGACCGUGAGGGGAUUGUAUGUUCUUUCACAUCUAAGUGUUAAAUCAAAGUUCAGAGAAAGGUUAGGGGAGCACAUUAGUGUAUUUUAUUGUUUCCAGAGAUAUUGUAUCACCAGCACAGCAUCAUUAGAGAUGAGGGUCGAAGGAGUGAGUCUGAUCUGUUCAGUGCCAUUUUGCGUGUUUUGUGACUCAUCUAUUGUAUUUAUUUAACUUUUAUAGCUUACUAUCAUUGCAUGUGUCCUGUAUGAGUUAUUGUAUAUUAUGAAUUUGUGUCCGGUAAAAAAAAAAAAAAAACGGGGUUGUUUUCCUUACAGCAUAUCAUUACAACGGCACUUUUCAAGCAUUCUCAUUUUACCACUCCUUGUAUUGUAACUCACUUGUCUCUAACAAGUGCCUUUUAAUGUCCAUUACAGAAAUUUUCCUUGCUACAUCCAGCCUUAUCUGUCAGGGCCAUGCAGUUUUCCCACUUUGUCUCACUGUAUUUGUUUCUCAUACUCCUAGUUCCCGACUCUGCUCACCCCACACACACCUUCCUGCAAUCGGCUCAUCGCCCCUCCCAGCCUACACACAUACCACCAUCAGUUCAUCAGCUUUGCAGUACUACGGAUCUUCACCCAUCCAGUGACAGAUUGUUAAAACGGAUCUUUCCUUGUCUGCUUGACUACAGUGCUCUUCAUCCUCAUGCCAUUCCUGCCUGUCCAUGCCAUUCACCAUCUGUGUUCUACUACCAGCCAUCUUCUGCAAAUAAAUCUCACCUUUUAUA